rnacentral:lncRNA from 1 species
AAUAAAUUGAAAAAAAAUCGAAGAUUAAUGAAAAAAAUACUCAAAAAUACAAUUUAGAACCAUUUUAUAAAAUAUACAAAAUUUAGUGUUAAAAUUUAUCAUUAAGCCAUGAAAUAUAUUUUUAGUUCACGCAAUUCGUAUAUUUCUUAUUUUAUUUAAAUUUUUUGAAAGUCUGAUAGUCUUUAUUCACUCUUCGACUCCCUAGGAAACCGAAACCCACUUCCCAAUUACCAAUUAUUUCGAUUUUCCUUUCCCACAACACCUCCAAACAAAAAAAUCAAAGCCUAAUGAGCCAUCCCAAAUUCCCGAAGUAUGCCACAACCAUCCUCCUGCCAUUCCAUUCUUCCUUUUAGACCGUCAUUUGUAUUCUUCAAACCCUUUGAGAGUUUCUGAGGCAGUGUUUAAAAAGGUUCACCGGUCGAGGCAUACUAUCUAAGCGACUCUCCUAGUGGGUUACCCGAAGACGACGAUCGACGGCAGCAAAUAGUGAGAUUCAAGAUGAGAGAAAAGCUUAAGUCUAAAGAGAAGAAAGAGAUGUAGUCGGCAGCAAAACAUAACCAAGGCUAAAAAGAAAAGAAGCAGAAAUGAUAACUUUUUUUUUGUGUGUGUGUUUAUGUGUUUAAGUUAGGCAGGUGACUACUGACUAGGGCUGUGUUUUAUAUUUCAAUCCAUUUAAUUAUUUUGGGUUGGGUUUGUUAAAAUUUAAGAGUUUGGGCCGAAAAGGGUAAUAUUCCGGUUUGGGUCAGUAAAUUUUGCCCAAAUAUAUAAAAAAACCGGUUCAUCCAGUUUGUAGUUUGCAGUCUAACCGCGAUUCGCAGUGGUUCAUGGUUCAAAUGGUUUUUCCUUUUACAUUGUAAUGAUAUACCAGUCAGUUCUCGGUCCGAUUUAAAUAUUAUUGAUUAAAAUUUAAAUUUAGCUCUAUAAAUAGCGG